AAGGCUUAAUAUAUGUGUAUUACUGGACUUUAAUGCAUGCUACAGACUUUCUAUGAAGAUCAUAAAUGUGCAAGUAUUGUGGGUAAUAUAACCCCUUCUUCUUUGUUGAAGUAACACGCAUCCAACUUCUCAGGCACGUGCAGGAUAGUUGCCAAAUACCACCAAGAGUCCCUCUCCCCUGCCUCAGACCCAGCAAUUCUUCGUACACAGCAAAUUUGUAAGUCAGUAUGCAGUCAUGGUCAACUUUUAUGUUCCAACUUUACCAAGAACACACACACAAACUCAAAAAGUAACUCAACCAUCUUUAUUCAACUCUCAAUUUCCAUGUUUGACAGCCUUAACAUAAUACAGUUCUCUGUACAAGCAUCAGAUUUUCAAGGUGAUUAUUAUCUUCCCGCAGAAACCUUCAUUAAGUACUGAGUGUAUUCCAACCAUCAUUCAUUGCUCCACUUUCAUUUCCCCUCUGCCCUUUUCUAAACAAUAGAGUCAUGAAUUUUUUUAAGCAAGCCUUGUAUAAAUGUGUGUAAUUUGCAACCUCCAAAGCAAAUCCAGAAAAUGCAAAGAAAACAUACAGGAACAUGGUAUUCAACAUUUGAAAUGUGGUAAAAUAUACUCCUGCCAUAUGUUUAAGCUUGCAGACUUAAGUAAAAAAAAACAUUACGUUACAUAGCCUGCCAUUACAUGUAAUCAAGAACAAUGAUCAAUAGCAUGCGCUACAGACAAACACAUCACUGGGAUAAACUUGAUUUGCUUUAAAAUGUUUUUUUAUGACUUAUUUUGCUUUCAGGUAAUUAUCUAACUCCCUGUCUAAAGAAUCUAUCUUAUUUUUUUCUGUUCCCUCAAAUAUUCUUGGAUACUGAACUUUGAGAUGUUUAAAGCAUUUAUCAUGUUCCUAAACUACCCUCUCCUCUCUCUCCUGCCUGACUUCAUACAGACGCCACUAGAGCGUAGUUUCUGCGCCUGGUUUCAUAAAGGAUGGAGAGAGCAAAAUGGAGGAGGUCAUUUGUGAACAU